rnacentral:lncRNA from 1 species
CUGCAAAUGUUAGCUGUUAUGACUGUGAUGAUGCUAGGACCUUGUCACAGUGUAAAGGAAGCCAUAUCCCUGACCUCUGAGAGCGUGUACUCAAAAUGAGAUAAAAUACAGACAGAAAAGCAACCCAAACGUGGCAGAAGGGGCAGGGAGGUUGCAUUCAGUCCAGAGGUUUCACUGAAUCCUCCUUCCUUUCCAUCUCCUCCUACCAAAAUUGUUGAUGUUACUGCAGAACAAGGCAUUCUUUUAACUGCUUAGAAACCAGGAUUUCUUUCAUUUUUUCCCCCUAAGUGGGGUGUGGGGGUAGGAAAAGAGAGAGGGAAUAAACACCAGCUGGGAUGAGAAUAUGAAGAAAAGGUACUUGCUCUAUCCACCAGGCCGGAGUGCAGUUGGGCGAUCAUAGCUCAUUGUAACCUUGAACUCCUGGGCUCAAGGAAUCCUCCUGCCUCAGCAUCCCCAAGCAGCUAAGACCACAGUUCCCCAAGGCCGGAAAGGUACAAUGUUAUUUUACCUUCCCUAGAUUGUAGCCUGAUUCUACCAUACAGUUGGCCUAGCUAUCAAGGAAAAAUGGAUGAUAUUUCUCGUGUUCUCUUUGAGAUUGACCCUCAAAACAGCGCUUCAUUUUACUAAAGGAGAAGAUCGAGGAAUUUGGACAUAUACAGUGACUGAGAAAGUAUGGUGGAGAGUACUAAGGGAAUACCAAAAUCCUUGUGGAGCAUGGAAGCCCAGGUCAUAACCACAGAGAGGGACAUGGAUGAAUCUGGAGAACAUCAUUCUCAGCAAACUGACACAAG